GGCUUUAUAUUCAAUUAUGAUCUUAAAUUGCAAGUUUAAAGGAGUGGUUAUACCGCUAAGGCUU
rnacentral:tRNA from 1 species